ACAGGCAGAGUACAGGUACUAAACAGGUAAGAGACGUUGUUGUUAUAUAGAAACAGGCAGAGUACAGGUACUAAACAGGUAAGAGACGUUGUUGUUGUUAUAUAGAAACAGGCAGAGUACAGGUACUAAACAGGUAAGAGACGUUGUUGUUGUUGUUAUAUAGAAACAGGCAGAGUACAGGUACUAAACAGGUAAGAGACGUUGUUGUUAUAUAGAAACAGGCAGAGUACAGGUACUAAACAGGUAUGAGACGUUGUUGUUGUUAUAUAGAAACAGGCAGAGUACAGGUACUAAACAGGUAUGAGACGUUGUUGUUGUUGUUAUAUAGAAACAGGCAGAGUACAGGUACUAAACAGGUAAGAGACGUUGUUGUUGUUGUUAUAUAGAAACAGGCAGAGUACAGGUACUAAACAGGUAAGAGACGUUGUUGUUGUUGUUAUAUAGAAACAGGCAGAGUACAGGUACUAAACAGGUAUGAGACGUUGUUGUUGUUGUUAUAUAGAAACAGGCAGAGUACAGGUACUAAACAGGUAUGAGACGUUGUUGUUGUUAUAUAGAAACAGGCAGAGUACAGGUACUAAACAGGUAAGAGACGUUGUUGUUGUUGUUAUAUAGAAACAGGCAGAGUACAGGUACUAAACAGGUAUGAGACGUUGUUGUUGUUGUUAUAUAGAAACAGGCAGAGUACAGGUACUAAACAGGUAAGAGACGUUGUUGUUGUUAUAUAGAAACAGGCAGAGUACAGGUACUAAACAGGUA